rfam:Triticum aestivum genome assembly, contig: Triticum_aestivum_CS42_TGACv1_scaffold_272109_3DS
GAAAUACUCCCUCCGUCCCAUAUUAAGUUUCGCUCAAACAGAUGUAUCUAGAGGUAUUUCAAUGCUAGAUACAUCCGUUUGAGCGACAGUUAAUAUGGGACGGAGGGAGUAUAAA